UACGUAGGGUGCAAGCGUUGUCCGGAAUUAUUGGGCGUAAAGAGCUUGUAGGCGGUUUGUCGCGUCUGCUGUGAAAAUCCGGGGCUCAACCCCGGACUUGCAGUGGGUACGGGCAGACUAGAGUGUGGUAGGGGAGACUGGAAUUCCUGGUGUAGCGGUGAAAUGCGCAGAUAUCAGGAGGAACACCGGUGGGCGAAGGCGGGUCUCUGGGCAGUAA
rnacentral:rRNA from 1 species